CGGGGCGGGGGCACGGCCGGGGGGGCUGCCCGGCAUCACCGCGGCAACAGCACCGGGCCCGCCGGCAGCACCCCGCGCUCGCCCCGCAGCCCCCAUGGGACGGGAGGGAGUGCCGAGGAUAAGGAGCCGCCGAGCGCCCGCCGAUGCUGUGGAGGGAGGGCGCGGAUGGCGCUGCCCGGCCAGCGGUGGCAGCAGGAUGUCUGUGAGGGUAACGCGGGGCACUCGGAGCUGAAGCUGGACCCGUCUGGGCAGCGGGAGUAGCGGCACCCGCAGAGCGCCACAGAUGGCCCGACAACUCUGCAAAUGGUCCUGGCACCCCUCGUGUACCCUGCCCGUGUGUGUGCCUGCCAGUUUAUCCACCCGUGUGCCUGCCAGUGCAGCCGCCUGUGUAUUCACGGGUGCGCCCAUCUGUGCGCCCACCCGGGCACUCACCGGGUGCCUGUGCCACAGCACAGGCUGCACAGCCAGCGCCCCAGCCUGCUCCCCUCGACCCACGGAGCCCUACAGCCAGGGUGGAAAAGCCUGGUGCGUCCAGCUGGAGUCCAGUGAGUGCCAGGAGCUCCCAGUUUGAUGGCUGAAUGAUCCAGAUUUAAUGCCCUGUGUAGCAGCUGGUAUUUUCAUUGAUUCUUAGUUUUCAGACAGAUUUGCUAGGAUACUCUUCCAUUAAAAUCCCCUCCUAAGCACUCCUUUAUCCAUUAUUUUGAUCUGUGAAUUAGGGUCAGAUGUCCAAAGAACUGGGAAACUACUGUAAAACUACCAUUUUUGGUUGUUCUCUUGCUUAAUGCUGCUGUGAUUUCCCUAGUGAAAUGCUCUAACACUGAAGGAUCCCUCAUGAGAGACUUGAAAGUCUUGCUGUGACUGCCUGAUCCCUUGGGGCCGAGCAGCAGCGCUUUGCGAGGGUUUUUUGGCUGCAAUGUGCACCUACCUGCUUAACAGGAACGGGCUCACCCCGGGCAGGAACAGCAGCUCCUGCAGGCCGGCUGCUCCUGUGCUGCCUGCUGCCUUCAGCUCCCAUCCGUGCAGAAGGACACCCACAGAUUCCAGAUUUGCAAAUCAAUGAGAAAAGGACUUUUUCUGUCAUAAAAUGUCCUAUGGACACUAACCUCAGAGGCAUCAUAGUUUUAACUAUAAAUUCUCUUUUGUACUGAUUCAAGAUUUCUGUAAUGACUUAGGAAUGCUGUGUAGCUAACUUAAAUUUCCAGCUGACUCCACAAAAGAUACAUUCACUUUCACUUGGACCUGUAACCACAGCAUUUACACCAAUGCAGUUUUAACUCUGUCUUGAAAAUGAACUUCGCAAAAUUAUAUCAAUGAGCAUAAAGCAAGUGAACAAGUGUUUGAAGGACUCUGAAAGCCUUUAUUUUGCAACAAGUUUUCAAACAAAGUCUUCUUUAUCUCAUUUUCAAUCCCAUCUCUUGUGAGCCUAAAAGCUACCAAAAAGUGAAGCACAGAAUUUCCUUUCACAUCUUGCUUGCAUUAAUAUUAACUGAAUCUCAAGAGGGCAGGAGACAAAACACAUUCUCCAUUAUUAAAGACAGAUCAGGUUUAGCAUGGAUUUCCUCUGGAAGGCCAAGUCAAUUUAUAACUAGUUCUUUAACCUCUCACUCCUUCAAAUUUAUAAACAAAAGUAUUUCUAAGUUUUAUUGGCACAUGCUUGUGUAACUAUUAGUAGAAAAUAACCAUUUUAUUUGAUUUGAAUUCUGUAUUUAGACCUUGAAAAGAUCAAGUAAGUUGUCACCAUGUGACCCUGUUUUAAUCCAAUGCCUUCCUUAUGCUAUUUUUCUUAUUGCUGCCUGAAACAUCAACUCUAACAUUAGGCUUAAAUCAUGGAAAUACUUAUGAUUCUGCUCAGUUUUAGUCUCACUAAGAAAUUCACACAGCAUUCCCAAUACACACAAAAUUAACUACAUGCCUUUGGCCUUAAUUUUUUAAUAAUUUUAACUUUUUUUCCCCUUAGGUUUUCUCCUAAGAUCUUGAAGUCCAGUGUGAAAACUUGGCUUUACUUUGGUCACUGAAAAUCAGUCCAGCUGACUUUAGAGAUGUGAGAAUUUCAGUUCACAUUUUCUAUUUAUCUUCAAGACCCCAGGGCAUGGCUGAGUGUUAUCUCAUAUUCUUCUGAGAAGAAUAUUAUUUUCUGCUGAUCUGUUCUACAGAUUUGGGCUAAUAAAUGUAUUAUUUCCUUUUAAAAUUAAUUAUAUACAACUAAUAAAAUUUGUUUUUCCAGAGUAAGAAGCUGACAUUUGCCAACUGUACUUGCCUAGGGUGAAAAAGAAUACAAAACACUUACAUACAAAGUUUCUUCCUCUAAGAAACUAUAUUGUCAUGUGUCCCUAAGUUGUAUUCAGGAGAAUGCUGUGAAAUCCUGUGUUAGAAACUUCUUGCAUGGUGUUUAAAAUGCCAUGAACAUCUUUAUAAAUAUUAUGAGAAAAAAUUGAUGAUUCCUCUUCUGAACUCUGAUCCUGUCUCCCUUAAGGGAGCACAGAGCUGGGGAAAAAAAGUGAGAGAAGUAACAGAAAAUGCAGCCUUUGUCUCUGACUGCCAAGGAGUACUGAGCUGUUUUGAAAGCAAAGCCAGACAACAUGGUUUUAGCAGCCACUUCAUGACCUGGCAAAACAUGAUGCUGCUGAAAAAUAUGUUUCUCCUUUCCUCUUUUACUCUAGGCUCUGACCCAGGAGAGAAAAGGAUAGAGUUCUUUUGCUGUCCUAAACCAGGCUCUCAGGAGACAGAGAGCAAAAAUGAGAAAAGUGAAGAGCAGUAAGGAGGUGAUCCCCUGUAUCAUACCACAUAACUCCAUGACACUUAGUGGCUUUAGCAUUCUUCAGUGACUCCAGGCUGCAGGACCUUUGCCAACCUUGCUGUGGCUGCCUGAACAAGGCUGCAGUGCUGCUGUUCCAAGGAAGAUGCAAAAACAAACCCCUGUUGUGCUAGAGAUGGCACAUCCACCACUGCUGCCACCACUGCCAACCUUCUCAGCUGCACUUGGUGCUCAGACCUUAGCCCGGCUGUUGGAGACCAUGAUGAGAUUUGCCACUUCCCAGCAGUGUUAGGCACACACCACAAACACUAGGGAGACAUCCCUCCCCCUGCAGGGACCCACUGUUAGCCAUUUCAUGGUAAGAGCUGUCUUUAUAGCACUGUGCCAGAAUACAGCACAGGCACCAUAUAUCCACUCCUAGAUUCCUACCCCCAUGUGCUUUCCACUUUCUGGACACUGAUAGUGCCAGAGUACCAGUCUGGAAUUUAUCUCAUGGAAGUUUAAAUGCCUAGAUGUCAUAUCUCAGUUAUUCUCCCUUUUUAACUUGUGGAGAGCAACACUGUGUUGUUUUGCCUUUUUUGUCUUGGCUUUCUGGAGUGUUUACUGUGGACAUCUACUUAGAACUGUAUCAAAGUUCACAAAAAUAAGCAAUGCUAGGGCUAUCUCUAUCUUUUGAACUGAAAGGGAGGAAGAGAGGAAGGUUCAGCAACUACUAAUACCAGAGUUCAGAGCAAAACUUUCUUCUUCAUGUUUUUCCCCAUGCUUCCUAGCAGUUCCCUAGCCAGCUUCAAACUAAAACAUAUGUGUUAUGUAUCAGAAAAUACAUAUUGUGUGACACAACACACAAUUUUUAGGAAUAUGAUUUCUGGAUGACUACAGUACAUGAGUUCUGCAAGUCAUCACCACGUCCAAGCUCAUUUAAAUGCAAUACUUACAUUUCACUUAUAUAUACAUCGAUGUGUAAGUUACAUUUAUUACAUAAAAGCUGUUCUAGACAAUUUGAAAAAUAUUGAAUUCUACUAUUUUGGGAUUUUAGUAUAAUUCUCAUUUAAAACAAAACAUAAAUAUAGCUGGUUUAGGAGCCAGAAAACACCCCAAGAUGGUCUAACCUUCCUUUCUAAACUCUCAAGGCUUACCAAUGAGACAGAAUAUUUCCUUUUCCUUGAUCCUACAAGGGAAAGGAAAUAUUCUGUCUCUAGCCAAACUCCAUUCUUAUUGAUAACAAACUCACUUUGAUUUGAAAUACUGACAUGUAUAGCAAAGCUGUUUGCAGUUUGGCAUGUAAGUUAGUCAAUGUAGAACUUUGUCCAAAGAAAAUGUGUAAGAGAGAACAGAAAAUACUUAGGGAAAAUAGAGUUAUUUUAAAAAUUGACAGCUGCUUGAAUCAACUGUAAGUCAGCUCAAGAAAUACCAAGGCUCCUAGAGGAAGCAGAUUAUUGUGUGCAAAUGCAUGCUAAAUUAAUUUAUACUUUGUCAUUACGAUUUAUUAUAGAGAUUUUAUGUCCCCAGGGAUGACAUAGCAAAAAUAGAAGAAGGCCAGAACUGAUGACAAAGACACUGUUGGACAUGGAAAAAUACUGUUAUGAAGAUAGAUGAACACUGUGCUUUAAACCAGAAAUAAAUACAAGGAAAUGGAAUAAAUGUACACAGAAAAAGACUGGAAAGGUGGAUAGAACUAAUAGAAUUGCUUCUUCUCAUCAGAUAUAAACAAGGAAGCAUCCAUUUAGACAAGAGAUAAUGCAUUUAUAACUAAAAAAGGAAAUAAAUGUUUUUCAACAGUGUAAUUGCACACUGUGCAAAUUCAUUUCUGAAGAAUGUCACUGAAGUUGGAUUCAAGAAACAGGAACUUCAUGAGGAUAACAAGAGCAUCAGGUAGCACAAGGAGUUAAACCUAAUGAAACCUCCUCAGCAUUUUAUUUAAGUCAACAGUGAAACUUUGCAGAUUCAGGCCUUCUCUGCUGGUGAACUGGCGAUCUCAGCCGGAGAUAUUUUCAUGGAUAUACCAGCACUCCAAACAGGCAAAGAUCUCCAGGUGGGACCUCUGUUUUCUAGUUCCACAAUUAUCUGAAGGAAGCAAGGUGUGCUGGGGGAGGAAAAGGGGGACUGUUUCUCCCUCACACAGCUAUCUACCAGAGCAGUAGUUCUGACCCCAAGUGACAUGACUGGACUGCAGGAGUCUGCUGAGCUAUUGCAGAUAUGGCCUCAGUUUUCUUUGGAGAUCCAACUCUUACCUGCAGCUUUGAUCCAAAUUUAUAGCACAAGGACACUGAAGAGCUCAAGGCUCACCUCCAAGUUCUCUUCUUGCUCAGAGCAUUGUGAGGCCAUUAGUCACAAAAAAAAAAAAAUCUCCAAAAAGAUGGACAUCAAAAAGAGAUUGGCAAAUAAAAAUAUGGUAGAAACAUUCCAGUUGAAUGCUUAUUCUGCUGGUUAACAUCAGCAGUGGGAAGAUAACAAAGGAAACUACUCAGUGUGAAGAGGGAAUCUCAAGGCACCGGCAUAUGACUCUCCUGGGACCAAUUAUUCCUCAAGUAUUUCUCAGUGAUGCAGUGAGCACAUAAGCUCUCACUAGACCCUGCAGAAAGGAGCAAAAUUUUUUUAAUUAAGUCCUGCUGAAACCAUGUUAUCUGUCUUUCUCCCUUUUAGAGCCAGGUGCUAGCCCAAUCGUAACCAACCCUUCAAACCCUUUGAGCAGAAGGGGCUGGAGGAAAAAAAAAGAAAUAUUAGAAUGAGAAGUGAUUCCAGAGGACAAAAAAAAAACCUAAAAGGAAAAUGUGUGAGUGUGCCAGACUGAAAAGUAGAUUGAUGGGCACUGGAGGAGGGCAGCCCCCAACAACAUCAGUCACUCCUGGAAUGUGUCCAGGGAAGCCAUGGUUGCUGCCCACCAGUGCUCUCUUUGUCAGCAUGAGAAGAUGAGGGCCUGGAAGCAGAUGAUGCAGUUGGCAGGAUACCCUCAUUGAGUUUGUGUCUCAUGGUGGCGUGAAAGGCCACUUCGGCUGUAACCAGGAGGAGACUGAUGAAUAGGUCUUGUAUUUACUGCCCAUUGUGUUAUAAACAUCUCAAGUGGUCAUUAAUGAAAAUGUGUUGGAAGAAUAAAUACUCUUUAAUCUAGGCAAAAAUGAAAUACUGUUCUGCAGUGAGCAAGCCUGCUUUUUUAUAUGUCAUGUAUGAUUUAAGACAGAAUUCUGUUUAUUUGUAACUUCUAUUCUUCCCUGACAUUUAAAAUGUUCUUUAUUUGUUGUACUAAUAAUGGGCUUCAGAUGUGAGAAAACAAAUUACAUACUUCUUUUGUAGUGCAACUUCAGUGCAAUGAUCUGAAAAUACUCACUUACAUAUUAGUGAAUUAAUCCUGACAACAUAUUAGUCAAAAAAGAUCUUCAUAGCUGAAAACUCCAGCUUACCUUUUUUUUUUUUUUUCCCUCUUUUUCAAAGUUUGCCAUUACUGGAAUAAAACAAAAAAUCAUGAUUAAUAAUAAAGCACUAUGUAUGCUUGAAGCCAAAAUACACAGAUUUUCUAGCAAGCACUGUCAGAUCUUUUACUAAACAAGCAGCAACAUCCUGACUUCAUGUUUUUGCUGUUUAUCCACUAGCCCACUUUCUUUGCCAAUUCCACAUCUACACUAACAAGCACUGUUGCAGAGCUGUCACCAAGUAGUCAUGGAUUGUGUAUCUACAAAUACAUUUUUUUAAAUGAUCAAAACCUCAAAAUAUUCUCAUCCGAGUAAUACAACUUUCCCAAAGCCACGGAAGCUGUUAUCAAGCCUACAGAAGAAUAGGAACAUAGAUGUUUCCUCAUUUAUAUAUUUCUUAACAAUUUUCCAGUUCCACAAUUCCCUGUUCCCUCAAAGCAAUUGUCCCAUUGUGGUUUUGUUUUCUACUGCUUUGCAUUGAUCAAUGUAAUAUGAAAACUCCACAUCUGAGAAAGACUUUUUAUUUUCUCCAGUGCUAGCACAAAUCACAGGCAGGCAGUCAUUGCUUUAUGUAAUUUGGGAAGACACCUAAAUAGCAUGCUUCUGUCUGCAGAGAAAAAAUGUGAAUAUCCUCGUGCUGGAGAGAAGGGAAGGUGCAAGGCUGUUUAUCAUGCAGCUGUAGCAAUAGC